rnacentral:tRNA from 1 species
AAGAUUUUAAGUUAAUAAAACUAAUAGCCUUCAAAGUUAUAAUUAAAAUAAAAAUUUUAAGUCUUA